rnacentral:rRNA from 1 species
AUUGAACGCUGGCGGCAGGCCUAACACAUGCAAGUCGAGCGAGCGGCGGACGGGUGAGGAAUGUAUGGGAAUCUGCCUGAUGGAGGGGGAUAACUACUGGAAACGGUAGCUAAUACCGCAUACCAUCGGAUGAACCCAUAUGGGAUUAGCUAGUGGGUGGGGUAAAGGCUCACCUAGGCGACGAUCCCUAGCUGGUCUGAGAGGAUGACCAGCCACACGGGAACUGAGACACGGCCCAGACUCCUACGGGAGGCAGGAGUGGGGAAUAUUGCACAAUGGGCGCAAGCCUGAUGCAGCCAUGCCGCGUGUAUGAAGAAGGCCUUCGGGUUGGAAAGGACUUUCAGCCGGGAGGCGUUACCCGCAGAAGAAGCACCGGCUAACUCCGUGCCAGCAGCCGCGGUAAUAC